ACGGAUGGGUACAGGACCUUGAAAUGCACCGUGUAGAAUGAAAGACCAUGGUACAAACAAAGAUAAUCCGGAUACACCACAUGCCCCAAACCAAGAGCAGAACCAACCAAGUUCUUCAGAUGAUCCAAUGAUCCCGAGAUUGUCCUGUAACCAGCGGACCACAGCUCCAGCGAUGGCCACAGAGCCCUGACAGCAAAGAGCAGGAAAACAAAAACAAUACAUAAUCAGAUUACCUGUCAAUUCAGGGAUACUCACAUUUCUGUAUCCUUUUUGGAAGACUAAACGGGCCAAAUAAAUAAAUAGCUCACUCAAUAAAUACGAAAAUUAACACUACAUGACAGUAAAUCUAAACUAAAAACUUAGGUGUAAAAAAAAAUAAUUUUUUUUUAGCUAACUAAAAUAAAAAUGUCCUUGGUUUUUGUUAACUUAAUUUAUUUACAAAGUCAGUCAUGUGUUUUUGAUUUUGGCAGUUUUUGUCCUCCAUACUUAAGAAAAGAGCUGAAGGAUUAGAGAGAAUAUUAUGAAAGUGGGCGUUAUCGUUUUGAUGUUUAUGUCAAAUAUCACUUUAUUUAUAUAUACACUGUAUAUACUGUAUCGUCUUGAUGCAUUCUCAAUCAUCCAGGAAAGUAAAUCUCCAAAAGUUGAA